ACUCCUACGGGAGGCAGCAGUGGGGAAUAUUGGACAAUGGGCGAAAGCCUGAUCCAGCCAUGCCGCGUGUGUGAAGAAGGUCUUCGGAUUGUAAAGCACUUUAAAGUUGGGUAGGAAGGGCAGUAAGUUAAUACCUUGCUGUUUUGUACGUUACCAACAGAAUAAGCACCGGCUAACUUCGUGCCAGCAGCCGCGGUAAUACGAAGGGGUGCAAGCGUUAAUCGGAAUUACUGGGCGUAAAGCGCGCGUAGGUGGUUCAGCAAGUUGGAUGUGAAAUCCCCGGGGCUCAACCUGGGAACUGCAUCCAAAACUACUGAGCUAGAGUACGGUAGAGGGUGGUGGAAUUUCCUGUGUAGCGGUGAAAUGCGUAGAUAUAGGAAGGAACACCAGUGGCGAAGGCGACCACCUGGACUGAUACUGACACUGAGGUGCGAAAGCGUGGGGAGCAAACAGGAUUAGAUACCCCUGGUAGGAUAGCG
rnacentral:rRNA from 1 species